rnacentral:lncRNA from 1 species
AGAACUACUUCUGGAGACCUUGUAGAGGCUUGCCUAUUCCUAGAGUUCCGUUACUCCUCAGUCCAACUGAGAAUUUCUCCCACUAGUUGAAUGGGGAAACCUGGUGCUUCUUACACAUUUUCUGGAGGCGGGAAAAAGGAAGCCAGGUGAGAACAAGGGAGACAUGAGCCCCCUGGAAACCCUGGCUGCUGGCCUGACAUCCUAGAGAUUUACCUCGAUACUAUGUGAAAGGAGUGUGUCUGAAGAAAGCCUCUUCCCAACACUGGGGCACAUCCAUCAGGAGCACUGCCCGUCACAUUGUAUCCAUCAUCACAUUCCACAAGCUUUUAAGUAGAGUCUCCCUUAGACAGUCCACAUGGACUUCCCUGGCUUGGGUCCCACCUUCCUCAGAAACCUGCAAGACCCGUGACUCGCAACCCUCUACGUUUAGCACUGCGACUCCUUCCCUUCUGGUCAUCAAUCCCUCGACCGUCUGGAGCUCCUCAAACCCCACAGGAGCCACCUGAGAUCCUGCUGCUUUCUAGUUCGGUUACAGGUCGACAUCUCGUGCUGUCUUUCUUUCUUUCUUUUUUUUUACGUGCUGACUUUAAACUUAUUAGGGUUUUCAACCAGGAUUUAAGAAUUUGUGUGUGUCUUCGGCCCUUACCUCCCUACCUGGCAUGUGGUGGAAGGUCAAUAUGUUUCCUGAAAGACACAAACUGACUUUCUACCUAAGAUACCAAUCAACUAAAAAAUAAAAAUAAAAUUAAAUACA